rnacentral:rRNA from 1 species
UAGGGAAUCUUCGGCAAUGGACGAAAGUCUGACCGAGCAACGCCGCGUGAGUGAAGAAGGUUUUCGGAUCGUAAAACUCUGUUGUUAGAGAAGAACAAGGACGUUAGUAACUGAACGUCCCCUGACGGUAUCUAACCAGAAAGCCACGGCUAACUACGUGCCAGCAGCCGCGGUAAUACGUAGGUGGCAAGCGUUGUCCGGAUUUAUUGGGCGUAAAGCGAGCGCAGGCGGUUUCUUAAGUCUGAUGUGAAAGCCCCCGGCUCAACCGGGGAGGGUCAUUGGAAGCUGGGAGACUUGAGGGCAGAAGAGGAGAGUGGAAUUCCAUGUGUAGCGGUGAAAUGCGUAGAUAUAUGGAGGAACACCAGUGGCGAAGGCGGCUCUCUGGUCUGUAACUGACGCUGAGGCUAGAAAGCGUGGGGAGCAAACAGG